UCUGAACACAAUAAUUGCUUAAUAAAUGUGAUCAAAUGAAUGGAGACUCCAAAAUCUAAUGUGUUUUGAGAAGUGCAUGGCAACUAUGUGAUUCUCUUGAAAUUGUGGCCAGUAGAUACUGUUGGCAGAGGAGAAGGAAGCCAUCCCUCCUCACUUCCAAAUCACACAACAGGAAAAUGGGUGUUAUUCAGUGACUAAACUGGCAGAUGGCACCAACAACAAAAACUGGGUCACCACCACUCUCUCCUCUCCUUCCAACUACAUUUCCCUCCUAAAGAUUAAACUUAAAGGUUUGGGUUCCCCUGCUUCUUAUCUUCCUUAAGGCACAGCACUACAGUUGAAGAAGAUGGGAAUUUAGGGGUGUGGUGAGGAGAUAGGCAAAGAACGUAGCCGUCAGCAUAGCAAGUCUCCUGGCCUUUAUGAACCGUUUUCCCUCACCAAGUCCAGAUCCCUUGUGGAUCCAGAGCAGGUAAGUGUACUUUGGGAGACCUGAAGGAAGACUUGCAGCUCCCAUUCGAUUUCUUUCAAAGUUCCAAAGACACCAGGAGGUGAGCUGUUGUAGGGACAUUUGACAUUUUUCCGGUUUGCCUUUGAUCUGUUCAUCUGGAAUUUCAGCUGUCCUCUGGAAUGUAUCUCUGUGAGCUGCCUGUCAUUGAACACUGAGGACCCUAGAGCUAGUAAAGCCAAAAGAUGACAUGAUUGCCUGCUCCAGCGACAAACAGCUGAAGAUGGCCCUGCCAUAUCUUAAGGACAACAUCAUGCAAAUUUCCAUCAAAGGAAAAGGCAGAGUCUGGUAAUUGUUUAGAAGGAAAUGACUGAACCCACUUGUCUUCAAAAGAAGAGGACCUGUUCAAAAGAAGAAUCCUCCAGUCUCUACAAAUGCUGGAAUCAGAAGAUCCAGAUCCUCUGGAUCUGUCUCAAGCAGAAGAACCCAAAGGACUGAGAGAAGUGGCCCUCUACCCCCAUGUUGCCUCAGGCAAAUAGCCCUAAGUGAGGCUUAGUCACUUUAGAACUCAUCUUCUCCCUUGUAGACUCCAGCGCAGAAUCUGGGUUAUCCGUAAACUGAAUUCAGGGCUGCUCGGUUUUUCUUCCCAUAAACUAGGACCAAUCCAAGUCACCCUGUAUCUAAAGAUCACAGAAUAGUGCUGAGCUAGAAAUUCUACAAAAAAGCUUUAUAGCCCUCAGAUUAAUAAUGAAGCUGCACCCACAAACAUGAUUUAAUCUGGAUCGCAAAUGGGGAUUUACUUGAGAAAUUCUCCAAAACUAAUCAUUAGCUCCCCUCUUCCCUGGCCUAACUUUCCUCCAGCUUAAUUAAGGGGAGGGAAGCUUAGCUCUGCAGACCCUCUGAAAAGGUCAUUUACCUACCCAGCUUCAGGAAGGAAAGAACAAGCAGGAGCCAAAGUCCUGUUACCUAUAUUAAGAUCAGGCAGGGAUUUGGUACCACCUAUUAAGUGCUUUCUAUGUGUUUAGCACUGUAUUAAGUGAUUUCUAAAGUCAGAAGUCAAUCACCUUGGCUUCCUGGGCAAUAUGUUUUUUUCCCCUUUUCUUUCCUACAAGUCUCUGACCAACUUUCAGUGAGAUCUUCAAGGUGACCACAGUGCUUUGCUCACAGUGCUCUCCAAGUGCUUCUCGGUUGAAGGGGACCUGACUCCUGCAGACCAAGAACUGGAUAUCGGGGCAGAGCUGGAUGCCAUUCAGUACUCCAAAAACCCAUCUCAUCCUUAACAGUGAGGCUGGGGCCCCGCUGGCAUCAGUCCUGUCUGCUGUCCAUGCCAAGUGAAUCAUUUACCAACACCUCUCUGAAUUAAAGUUCCCUUU